rnacentral:rRNA from 1 species
AUGAACGCUAGCGGCAGGCCUAAUACAUGCAAGUCGAACGGUAACAUGUCCCGCAGCAAUGCGGGAUGAUGACGAGUGGCGCACGGGUGAGUAACGCGUAUGCAACCUACCUCCAACCGGGGAAUAGCCCCGGGAAACCGGGAUUAAUACCCCAUAAUGUCCAGAUGUGGCAUCACAUCCGGAUUAAAGUUCAGGUGGUUGGAGAUGGGCAUGCGUGGCAUUAGCUAGUUGGUGAGGUAACGGCUCACCAAGGCAACGAUGUCUAGGGGGUCUGAGAGGAUGAUCCCCCACACUGGUACUGAGACACGGACCAGACUCCUACGGGAGGCAGCAGUAAGGAAUAUUGGGCAAUGGAGGCAACUCUGACCCAGCCAUGCCGCGUGCAGGAUGACAGCUCUAGUAGUUGUAAACUGCUUUUAUACGGGAAGAAACCCCUGAUCGUGAUCGGGGCUGACGGUACCGUAAGAAUAAGGAUCGGCUAACUCCGUGCCAGCAGCCGCGGUAAUACGGAGGAUCCAAGCGUUAUCCGGAUUUAUUGGGUUUAAAGGGUGCGUAGGCGGAAUAGUAAGUCAGUGGUGAAAUCCUACAGCUUAACUGUAGAAUUGCCGUUGAUACUGCUGUUCUUGAGUAUAGUUGAAGUGGGCGGAAUGUGUCGUGUAGCGGUGAAAUGCUUAGAUAUGACACAGAACACCGAUUGCGAAGGCAGCUCACUAAACUGUAACUGACGCUGAGGCACGAAAGCGUGGGUAGCGAACAGGAUUAGAUACCCUGGUAGUCCACGCUGUAAACGUUGAUUACUAGAUGUUGGCGAUAUACUGUCAGCGUUUAAGCGAAAGCAUUAAGUAAUCCACCUGGGGAGUACGGUCGCAAGAUUGAAACUCAAAGGAAUUGACUGGGGCCCGCACAAGCGGUGGAACAUGUGGUUUAAUUCGAUGAUACGCGAGGAACCUUCCCUGGGCUUGAAUGCACAUUGACAUCCCGAGAAAUCGGGACUCCUUCGGGCAAUGUGCAAGGUGCUGCAUGGCUGUCGUCAGCUCGUGCCGUGAGGUGUCGGGUUAAGUCCCAUAACGAGCGCAACCCCUAUCCUUAGUUGCCAACACGUAAUGGUGGGGACUCUGAGGAAACUGCCCGCGUAAGCGGUGAGGAAGGUGGGGAUGACGUCAAGUCAGCACGGCCCUUAUGUCCAGGGCUACACACGUGUUACAAUGGCCGGUACAGAGGGCAGCUACCUGGUGACAGGAUGCUAAUCUUUAAAACCGGUCUCAGUUCGGAUCGAAGUCUGCAACUCGACUUCGUGAAGCUGGAAUCGCUAGUAAUCGCACAUCAGCAACGGUGCGGUGAAUACGUUCCCGGGCCUUGUACACACCGC